CCCUUAGAUGUUCUGGGCCGCACGCGCGCUACACUGACUGACUCAACGAGUGUACAACCUGCUUCGACAGAAGUGGGUAAUCUUUUGAAAUUCAGUCGUGAUGGGGCUAGAUUAUUGCAACUAUUAAUCUUCAACGAGGAAUGCCUAGUAAGCGCGAAUCAUCAGUUCGCGUUGAUUACGUCCCUGCCCUUUGUACACACCGCCCGUCGCUCCUACCGAUUGAAUGAUUUAGUGAGGACUUCGGACUGGGACCGAUGCGGCUUUCGGGCUGCGUCGGUAUUCUGGAAAGAUGUCCAAACUGUNUNAUUUAGNGGAAGUAAAANUCGUANCA
rnacentral:rRNA from 1 species